rnacentral:rRNA from 1 species
GUCUACGGCCAUGCUACCCUGAACAAGCCCGAUCCCGUCUGAUUUCAGAAGCUAAGCAGGGUCGGGCCUGGUUAGUACUUGGAUAGGAGACCACCUAGGAAGACCAGGUGCUGUAGGCA